ACGGGCCGACAGUCCGAGUGAUAGUUGACUGGCUAGUCUUCACGAAGGUUGUCUAGUCCGCGACCGAUAGUAAUUGGCUUCAGUUCGGCCCAAGUCCAAACAGUCUGGACUGACCCAAACUGCUACAAUAUCGAUUCAGACACCGGGCGGACUAACGAGCCCAGUCUAUUUGUGCACCUCUAAGACCAACGGAGGUAAAAGUUAUUAUCUAAAGAAUGUUAUGUGAGUUUUACUCGCUUACUUUCCAUAUCAAUAAUUAACGAGUAUAAAUAAGAGGACUAUAUUAAAAUCAAAUUAAAACUACAAGGUCCUAAUUGUUCAAAUUAAAACUAUAAAGACCAAAAUAAAACUUCAAUCAAACUACAAUUACCAAUAGUGAAAUUUACCUAAAAUAUUAAAACUUCUCUCUUUUCU
rnacentral:lncRNA from 1 species